rnacentral:rRNA from 1 species
UACAGAGGUCUCAAGCGUUGUUCGGAUUCAUUGGGCGUAAAGGGCGCGUAGGUGGCGCCGUAAGUCAGGUGUGAAAUUUCGGAGCUUAACUCCGAAACUGCAUUUGAUACUGCGGUGCUUGAGGACUGGAGAGGAGACUGGAAUUUACGGUGUAGCAGUGAAAUGCGUAGAGAUCGUAAGGAAGACCAGUGGCGAAGGCGGGUCUCUGGAUAGUUCCUGACACUGAGGCACGAAGGCCAGGGGAGCAAACGGG